UGGGGAAUCUUGCACAAUGGACGAAAGUCUGAUGCAGCAACGCUGCGUGGGGGAUGAAGCUUCUCGGAGUGUAAACCCCUUUCGACCCGGAAGAAUGCCCGCAAGGGUUUGACGGUACGGGUAUAAGAAGCCCCGGCUAACUACGUGCCAGCAGCCGCGGUAAUACGUAGGGGGCCAGCGUUGCUCGGAAUUACUGGGCGUAAAGGGUCUGUAGGCGGUGCGGCAAGUCGAUAGUGAAAUCCCUAGGCUUAACCUAGGGGCUGCUAGCGAAACUGCCGUGCUAGAGUGUGAGAGAGGCGAGUGGAAUUACGGGUGUAGCGGUGAAAUGCGUAGAUAUCCGUAGGAACAUCCGAGGCGAAAGCGGCUCGCUGGAUCACAACUGACGCUGAGAGACGAAAGCUAGGGGAGCAAACAGGAUUAGAUACCCUGGUAGUCCUAGCCCUAAACCAUCAGGACUUGGGGUUUGCCCUGUACGGGGCAAGUCCCGUAGCUAACGCGUUAAGU
rnacentral:rRNA from 1 species